rnacentral:rRNA from 1 species
UACGUAGGGGCCUAGCGUUGUCCGGAAUCACUGGGCGUAAAGCGCACGUAGGCGGAUUUGUAAGUCAGGGGUGAAAUCCCGGGGCUCAACCUCGGAACUGCCUUUGAUACUGCGAAUCUCGAGUCCGAUAGAGGUGGGUGGAAUUCCUAGUGUAGAGGUGAAAUUCGUAGAUAUUAGGAAGAACACCGGUGGCGAAGGCGGCCCACUGGAUCGGUACUGACGCUGAGGUGCGAAAGCGUGGGGAGCAAACAGG